CUCGGCUAAGUGCGGCUUGGCGGCUCGACAUCCGAAUAGUAUACCGAUUCCUAGGUUUUCGACCCUUCCGAAGCCAUUUCCGCCCUCGUUUCAACCAUUUGAGGAGGUAGUUAGGCGCUGGAGUUAGCGUUGUGGGCGACUUCGGUCAAGGCCAAGGAGGUAAGUAACCUUACUGUUGGCGUUAGUUUUGUAUGUAUGUUGGUGCGUGCCCUGUGGCCCUUGCAUGCACCAUAUGUUGUUGCUGUAUGCUAGGUUAGAUGUUUCUUGCCGUGAAAUGCUAUGCAUGCUUUGUUUAUGUAUGUGAUUCUUGCAGUGAAUUGCUAUGUAUGCCAUGUUUAUGAAUAUGAUGUUGUGACGCGUUUUGUCGCCCUGUAUGUAUGAUGAGCUUGAUUGACAUGUUAUGAUUGUAAUGAGAACCCCACAUGCCAUGAAUAAGAUGACUAGUAUGCUAGGACAUGCUUGCUCAAUGUGGACCCUGUUAUGCUAUGUUAUGCUUGCCUAAUGUGGACCCGGUUAUGCUACGUAAUGCGGCGAGGGGAUGGAGCGUCGUAUGUGUAAUGCCAUGGAGGCCCUCCUUUGUCCGUGGCGUCCGGUAUUGUAUGUCAUACAUACCCGACCAAGCCAGGCCCAGGGAGUUCGCUUGCGAGCUCGCCUGGUGGGCCCACGAUCACACACGUGGGCCAUGUGUGGGAAAUUACCAUGCAUCCACCCCCGCCCGGACAAGGCAAGGGCCUAAGGCCAUGGGAAGGAAUGGAAGACAAACAUCUCUCUCAGUUCCGUUCUUCUAGCAGUGUGCGACAUGUAUGGUAACGAUGUGCGACAUGUAUGGGUAUUCUGUGUGACAUGUAUGUGUGUUGUGUGCGUCAUGUAUGUGUAUCGUGUGCGACAUGUAGAUGUACUGUGUGCGACUGCUUAUAUCCGAAUGUAUGAAUAUAUGUUUAACCCCAACAGUGGGGCGACUUACUGGGUAUUUUAUAUAAUACUCAAGCCACGUGCUACCAAU